rnacentral:rRNA from 1 species
GAUGAACGCUGGCGGCGUGCCUAAUACAUGCAAGUCGAGCGAACGGACGAGAAGCUUGCUUUUCUGAUGUUAGCGGCGGACGGGUGAGUAACACGUGGAUAACCUACCUAUAAGACUGGGAUAACUUCGGGAAACCGGAGCUAAUACCGGAUAAUAUUUUGAACCGCAUGGUUCAAAAGUGAAAGACGGUCUUGCUGUCACUUAUAGAUGGAUCCGCGCUGCAUUAGCUAGUUGGUAAGGUAACGGCUUACCAAGGCAACGAUGCAUAGCCGACCUGAGAGGGUGAUCGGCCACACUGGAACUGAGACACGGUCCAGACUCCUACGGGAGGCAGCAGUGGGGAAUCUUCCGCAAUGGGCGAAAGCCUGACGGAGCAACGCCGCGUGAGUGAUGAAGGUCUUCGGAUCGUAAAACUCUGUAAUUAGGGAAGAACAUAUGUGAAAGAAACUGUGCACAUCUUGACGUUACCUAAUGGGAAAGCACCGGCUAACUACGUG